UGGGGAAUAUUGCACAAUGGGCGCAAGCCUGAUGCCGCCAUGCCGCGUGUAUGAAGAAGGCCUUCGGGUUGUAAAGUACUUUCAGCGGGGAGGACGGCGAUAAGGUUAAUAACCUUGUCGAUUGACGUUACCCGCAGAAGAAGCACCGGCUAACUCCGUGCCAGCAGCCGCGGUAAUACGGAGGGUGCAAGCGUUAAUCGGACUUACUGGGCGUAAAGCGCACGCAGGCGGUCUGUCAAGUCGGAUGUGAAAUCCCCGGGCUCAACCUGGGAACUGCAUUCGAAACUGGCAGGCUAGAGUCUUGUAGAGGGGGGUAGAAUUCCAGGUGUAGCGGUGAAAUGCGUAGAGAUCUGGAGGAAUACCGGUGGCGAAGGCGGCCCCCUGGACAAAGACUUACGCUCAGGUGCGAAAGCGUGGGGAGCAAACA
rnacentral:rRNA from 1 species